AAUAAUUAUCCUGUUCUAGUGUUUUCCUUUAUCACUCCCCACUAUGUUGUUUCAUCUCCUACUUUUUCUCCUUUCGAAAAAAUAUCCUUAAUUGUUUCCUCUUAAUUCUCCAGCCAGCUUGUUUGAUAACCGUGUGAUUCAAUUGACAUUUAAUUCCGCCGAAAAUACUUAAAUUUUCCUCAUACUUUCUCUUUGCAGCAGCCCAAUGAAACCCUAUUUUUUUUUCCCUUUUAACUCCUUGCAGCCAUGCCUAUAUCUCUCUACCAGAGAUGUGUUCUCGAAAACCUAAAUCUUUAUUAAUGUGGAACUCUCCUCAAUUCGAAUUACAGAUGGCGCUAUCCCCCUUUUCUCCUAUUUAAGGUCCAUCAGAACCAUCUUAUUGGAAAGUCUCUAUAGGGACUAUAGUAGGGAGUGGAGAAGGACUGCCCUGUUCAAGGUUAAUUACAUUGCAAAUAUUUGUUCAUAGAUAUCUGAUUUUGCUCUCAAUUCAAGCAAGCCACAAAACAUAUGAGACCAGUACUCAUGGAGGUUUUUCUCUUUUCAUUAUAUGUAUAUAUAUUCAUCUGAAGUUGAGGAAUGAGUUUGAGAGUGAAGUUAGGAAGAAAAUGGAAAUGAUGAUCUAGAUGAUUAUGUUUGUUCAUGUCAAGUUAGCUUACAACUUCAUGUAGCCCUAUUUGAUCUACUGUUUGUUUCUAUUUGAGCUGGAAUGAAUUCAAUAUCAUCUUAGCAUGAAUGUUUUUCAAAUAUAAGAAAGAA